UCCUCGCGCGGAGGAGUCAAAGGGGACCACGACACCUGAAGCUGCACCACAAACAGCAGAAAUGAAGUUACUUUCUGUGGCUCCAACAAUAACUCCAGAAAUGACAGAAAGAUCAAUAAUUAUCAAAGAAUCCACAAAUUA
rnacentral:ribozyme from 1 species